ACGCACGCUGGCGGCGUGCUUAACACAUGCAAGUCGAACGGAAAGGCCCUGCUUUUGUGGGGUGCUCGAGUGGCGAACGGGUGAGUAACACGUGAGUAACCUGCCCUUGACUUUGGGAUAACUUCAGGAAACUGGGGCUAAUACCGGAUAGGAGCUCCUGCUGCAUGGUGGGGGUUGGAAAGUUUCGGCGGUUGGGGAUGGACUCGCGGCUUAUCAGCUUGUUGGUGGGGUAGUGGCUUACCAAGGCUUUGACGGGUAGCCGGCCUGAGAGGGUGACCGGCCACAUUGGGACUGAGAUACGGCCCAGACUCCUACGGGAGGCAGCAGUGGGGAAUAUUGCACAAUGGGCGGAAGCCCGAUGCAGCAACGCCGCGUGCGGGAUGACGGCCUUCGGGUUGUAAACCGCUUUCGCCUGUGACGAAGCGUGAGUGACGGUAAUGGGUAAAGAAGCACCGGCUAACUACGUG
rnacentral:rRNA from 1 species